GACGAACGCUGGCGGCGUGCUUGACACAUGCAAGUCGGACGGUGACGAAGAGCUUGCUCUUCUGAUCAGUGGCGAACGGGUGAGUAACACGUGAGCAACCUACCCUUGACACUGGGAUAACAGUUGGAAACAGCUGCUAAUACCGGAUAUGAACCUCACAGGCAUCUGAGAGGUUGGAAAGCUCCGACGGUCAAGGAUGGGCUCGCGGCCUAUCAGCUUGUUGGCGAGGUAACGGCUCACCAAGGCGACGACGGGUAGCCGGCCUGAGAGGGCGACCGGCCACACUGGGACUGAGAUACGGCCCAGACUCCUACGGGAGGCAGCAGUGGGGAAUAUUGCGCAAUGGGCGAAAGCCUGACGCAGCAACGCCGCGUGCGGGAUGACGGCCUUCGGGUUGUAAACCGCUUUCAGCAGGGACGAAACUGACGGUACCUGCAGAAGAAGCACCGGCUAACUACGUGCCAGCCGCCGCUGUAAAAC
rnacentral:rRNA from 1 species